UCUUUUGAUUGUUCCCUGAGUUAGUAAGCAUGGCUUCCUUAUUGGCAGUCCUGUGUGUCAGGAUGAUGUCUGUGUGGUGGUAUUACUGUGUAACAACCGAGAACAGGGUUUUGUAGCUUGAUAAGUCUGAGAUUGACUGUUAGCAACACUACUUACUGUGACUUUGGGCGUUCAGUUUCCACAUCUAUGUAUUGGGGAUAAUAACUAUGAUGUCAUAUAAUUUUGUAAUAAGAUGAAGUCUUCAGGUUAGGGCUUGGCUCUUUGUGGCAAAUAGUAGCAAUUCCCCCCAUUCCUGUCAGUCAUAGUAGAAAGUAUGAUGUAGUUACCAAUCAAUAUAAUAAGACCAUGUGCCCUUUUCUGUAACAGGAAGCACAUGGCAAGGAAGGCCAUGCUAGAUAUUGCAAAACACCUUUCAUAUGAGAGAAUGGGCUCCUCAAAUGUCUCCCAGAAGGGCUCCUCAAAUGGACAGAUGUAUGACCGAUGCAGGGUUCGUUGUUUCACAAUAUCUUUUGGGUGAGAAUAUCAGAAUUCUGUUCUGAUGCUGGGGCAAGAUAGGAAUUUUCUAGCCAGCCUGAAGACAAUAGAUGAGUCCACCCUUUGAUCCCUGGAGAGAGCUGGAGUUUUGUUUGGCUUUAUUAUAUUAAGGGAACUCUUGACUCCUCUCUAGUUACUUUGAAGGAAUCACUGUUAUGGCUCUAUAUGGAGUUUUGUCCCAAGGAUGCUUUGGACCAGACUGUGGAGUACCUUACAGAGAAAACACUUGUAUUAGUUAAGCUUCCAUCAGGCAUGAGUUAGGGCUGCGGACCGUGAAUUCAUUGUUAUGAUCAACUAAAGACAUAAUGUGGUUUUCCCUUUAUUGAUGUGCUUCCUGCCUUCUUCCCACAAUGUCAGUCACUUCUACCUCCCCACCCCACUCAGAGAGAGUAGAGAAAGUAAGGUCCUGAGCCCUUUGAGCAAUUAGAAAGAGAACAGAAAUCAAAAACAAUCAUGUGACAGAGAUUGACAAUCAAAAAGUCUAAAGUGGAGUGGGAAAGGAGGGCAGAGAAAGGAGAAGAAAGAGGGAGAGCUCCAAGAGGCUAUCUCCAUUACCCUCUAGCUAAGAGCAACUGGAGAGAAGGUCUCCCACAUUGAAGUGCAGGCCUGUAGAAGGCAGGUGGCAUUGGAGCCUGAGGAAAGAGGAGGUCCAGGAAGGGGGCCGCUGCUCUCCUUGUAGAAUGGGCCCUCCUGCCUCCCUCAGGGGCAGCAGAGUCACAGGCAUGCAUAUUUUUGUCACUAUAGGCAGUGCAGUGUGUGCUGUUUCUGGUAUAGCUGACCCACAGUGGCACUGGUGGGUGGAAUGACAUGGUUGACAAGGAGAAACCAGACAUCCUCAGCUUGAAUCUGAAUUCACUCCAGGUCCAAAAAGAAAUCCGAAGGCAUCGAGUAUUUCUUUUUGCCCAAGUGUUCUGUUCAAGCUUUGGGGAGGCUUUUCUGCUGUCAAUGGGACCUGGCCUUUUUCAGAUCUUCUCACCCUCAGAGAGACAUUUCUGCAAAGGAUUCUCCCUUUAUAUUUCAACUUUGACAUCCUGGGAACUGUGUUGGACAGGGCCAGGUUGCAGGAACCUGAAGUAAGGGUUCCUGGAUGGGCAACAAUACACAUUAAAUAAGAUGUUUUUAAAUAGAGAGACACAAAAUAUGGCGAUGUAUUGACCAAUUUCCAAAAAAUGGGGCCAGGGGCAUGUAGGAACUUAACACUAUAUUAUCUGCUAGGAAGUAGGAUGGCUCAGUAUUUGCUAAUUCUGUAUUUUCCUUCAGUGUUUAUGGGGCAUAAUGCCAAUGAUCAACUGUACAUACAGUCGUUUCCCUAAGAUGGGCCUAUAACAUCAGGGAGGAUGUUAGCAGUUGUCCUGUAAGGACUUGUAGAAGGAACUGACAUUCCUCAUUCCCAAAUGGCUAUCCCUGCUCCUAUUACUGUUCUCCAGCAGACUUGUACUUAUAUAUACUCCCUUGACAAGGGGGCUCUGUCCUUUCAUCUCUUCUAUUAGUUAGGGAGGGGUGGUGGAGUUUGGCACAAUGCGGGAGGAAAAUCCAGAGAGGCUGUGGUGUAACUCACCUUUGCCCAUCUCAACUCAACUACAUGGUCUCUCUUUUGGGCCAGAUAUGGCCUCAGAAUAAUUUGUGGUGGGAAUACUUACUUUCUUGCUCUCAUUCCCUCAAUAUAUAAUCACAAAAAUUAAGAACAAUCUGACACUGGUACAUUUCUCAAGAUCUGAGCUGUCUAGUUGUAGCCAAGGUCACCCCGAUAGAAGGUGAUGCAGACACUGAAAACAGUUGUCUGUGGGCCCUGCUUACGUCCCUUCUAGAAUAAAACAUCAGGGGAGCAAAAAGUAAAUCAACCCUGCCCACGGUCAAGUCAGGCUGCUCUGGCGGGAGAUUGAAUUCAUGUUUAAUCAAAACUGUAUUGGAUUUUGUUGUUCAAUCUUAGCUUUUGGUGGAAAAAUUCAAAGGUGGCAGUGUUCUCCUAAAUUUGACAAAGAGUUGAAAAGAUUUAUUACAUGUGCAGGAGACCAGUCUUGAAGAGUUAUAUUAUUGCUACCCUGAGAAUUGCUAUAAAAGGGGUUUUGGGUGCACUC
rnacentral:lncRNA from 1 species